GAUGAACGCUGGCGGCGUGCCUAAUACAUGCAAGUCGAGCGAACAGAUGAGGAGCUUGCUCCUCUGACGUUAGCGGCGGACGGGUGAGUAACACGUGGAUAACCUACCUAUAAGACUGGGAUAACUUCGGGAAACCGGAGCUAAUACCGGAUAAUAUAUUGAACCGCAUGGUUCAAUAGUGAAAGACGGUUUUGCUGUCACUUAUAGAUGGAUCCGCGCCGCAUUAGCUAGUUGGUAAGGUAACGGCUUACCAAGGCAACGAUGCGUAGCCGACCUGAGAGGGUGAUCGGCCACGCUGGAACUGAGACACGGUCCAGACUCCUACGGGAGGCAGCAGUAGGGAAUCUUCCGCAAUGGGCGAAAGCCUGACGGAGCAACGCCGCGCGAGUGAUGAAGGUCUUCGGAUCGUAAAACUCUGUUAUUAGGGAAGAACAAAUGUGUAAGUAACUAUGCACGUCUUGACGGUACCUAAUCAGAAAGCCACGGCUAACUACGUG
rnacentral:rRNA from 1 species